rnacentral:rRNA from 1 species
AUUGAACGCUGGCGGCAUGCCUUACACAUGCAAGUCGAACGGCAGCACGGGAGCAAUCCUGGUGGCGAGUGGCGAACGGGUGAGUAAUACAUCGGAACGUGCCCAGUAGUGGGGGAUAACCCGGCGAAAGCCGGACUAAUACCGCAUACGACCUACGGGUGAAAGCAGGGGAUCGCAAGACCUUGCGCUAUUGGAGCGGCCGAUGUCAGAUUAGCUUGUUGGGGGUAAAAGCCUACCAAGGCAACGAUCUGUAGCUGGUCUGAGAGGACGACCAGCCACACUGGGACUGAGACACGGCCCAGACUCCUACGGGAGCAGCAGUGGGAAUUUGGACAAUGGGCGCAAGCCUGAUCCAGCCAUGCCGCGUGCGGGAAGAAGGCCU